rfam:Streptomyces sp. NRRL F-6602 F6602contig20.1, whole genome shotgun sequence.
UCGAGAGUCCGUGAUUGGAUGCAGGCGGAGAUGGAUAAACUGGCCGCGGACCGUGCUUGGGCGCAGCCCCCGACCGGUCCGCCCCAUGCUCAGCCAGCAGCCGCUGCAACCCCAGGGAG